rnacentral:lncRNA from 1 species
CUAUUGCCGGCUUCACAGCCUGUACGCCCCCGUGAUCAAGGACCGUGAUUACCACCUGAAGACCUACAAGUCCGUGGUCCCCGGGAGCAAGCUGGUCGACUGGCUCCUGGCACAGGGGGACUGCCAGACACGGGAGGAGGCGGUGGCGCUGGGUGUGGGCCUGUGCAACAACGGUUUCAUGCACCAUGUUCUGGAGAAGAGCGAAUUCAAGGACGAGUCUCAGUACUUCCGCUUCCAUGCGGACGAGGAGAUGGAAGGGACCAGCAGCAAGAACAAACAGCUUCGCAACGACUUCAAGCUAGUGGAGAACAUCCUGGCCAAGCGGCUGCUGAUCCCGCCGCAGGAGGAUGACUAUGGCUUCGAUCUUGAGGAGAAGAACAAGGCAGUGGUGGUGAAGUCCGUGCAGAGGGGUUCGCUGGCUGAGAUGGCUGGCCUGCAGGCGGGGAGGAAGAUUUACUCCAUCAACGAGGACCUGGUGUUCCUACGGCCCUUCUCUGAGGUGGAGACCAUCCUUAACCAGUCCUUCUGCUCCCGCCGCCCGCUGCGCCUCCUGGUGGCCACCAAGGCCAAAGAGACCAUCAAAAUCCCUGACCACCCAGAGGCCCUGUCCUUCCAGAUUCGAGGAACAGCCCCGCCGUGUGUCUUUGCCGUGGGCAGAGGUUCUGAGGCUGUGGCUGCCGGGCUCUGCGCAGGCCAAUGCAUCCUGAAAGUCAACGGCAACAGCGUGGCAAAUGAUGGCGCCCUU